CCAAACCAUGAUAGAUCUUGGCCAUAAGCUAAAUUUGAUGAUGCUGAUGCGGCCUCAUUGCUACCUGCGACUGCUAGCACUUGACUGCAAACAACAAACGACAACAAACAAAAUGAAAAUGGCUUUUGCUCCUUUCAUUGCUGCUCAGAUCUAAUUAAAACUCACACUCACUCACUAAUUAAAACAAGGCUUCGUGUGCUCUCAGCAGUCAGCACCGUAGCUUGACAGCUUUAUAUAUAGGACUAACAAAAGAUGGACACCAACAUAAGUUUCGCUAAGUUAUCCUUCGAUUUAAUUCUAAAUUUUUCGAAUUGGUAUGGGAUAACUUUACUUCAAACGGU
rnacentral:lncRNA from 1 species